rnacentral:rRNA from 1 species
GAUGAACGCUGGCGGCGUGCUUAACACAUGCAAGUCGAACGGAAAGGCGCCGAUCUGGCUACUCUAGCGGUGACCGCGUGCGUGAGAGGAACAUAACGUGACCUUGCCUACGGGACUACUAUAGGUAACUGGGGCUAAUACCGGUACGGGAUAAUAGCUGCAUGGUGGGGGUUGGAAAGCUACGGCGGGUUUUGAUGGAAUUGAGGCAUAUCUGCGUGUAGGUGGGGUAGUUGCUUACCAAGGCGUUGACGGGUAGCCGGCCUGAGAGGGCGACCGGCCACAUUGGGACUGAGAUACGGCCCAGACUCCUACGGGAGGCAGCAGGGGGGAAUAUUGCACAAUGGGCGGAAGCCUGAUGCAGCAACGCCGCGGGCGGGAUGACGGCCUUCGGGUUGUAAACCGCUUUCAGCAGGGGCGAAGCUUGUGGUGACGGUACCUGCAGAAGAAGCACCGGCUAACUACGUG